CGGGACGGGUGGGUAAUGUCUGGGAAACUGCCUGAUGAGGGGGAGUAACUACUGGAAACGGUAGCUAAUACCGCAUAACGUCGCAAGACCAAAGAGGGGGACCUUCGGGCCUCUUGCCAUCGGAUGUGCCCAGAUGGGAUUAGCUAGUAGGUGGGGUAACGGCUCACCUAGGCGACGAUCCCUAGCUGGUCUGAGAGGAUGCCAGCCACACUGGAACUGAGACACGGUCCAG
rnacentral:rRNA from 1 species